rnacentral:rRNA from 1 species
UACGAAGGGGGCUAGCGUUGCUCGGAAUCACUGGGCGUAAAGGGUGCGUAGGCGGGUCUUUAAGUCAGGGGUGAAAUCCUGGAGCUCAACUCCAGAACUGCCUUUGAUACUGAAGAUCUUGAGUUCGGGAGAGGUGAGUGGAACUGCGAGUGUAGAGGUGAAAUUCGUAGAUAUUAGGAAGAACACCAGUGGCGAAGGCGGCUCACUGGCCCGGAACUGACGCUGAGGUACGAAAGCGUGGGGAGCAAACAGG